AGUGGUGCCUUAACCGCUUGCAAAAUAAAAAUCACAUUUCUUUGGCAAGUGAUUCUACUGUUCCCAAUAAUAAAACUAAACAGUUAGUUUUUAAUAAUUAGUUUCUUGCGUAUUGUGGCGGAGAUAUCGAAGAAGUGGUAAAAAGAAACUGUACAAAACCGGUGGAACCGUCAAGAAGUUUAAGGGAGAAUCUAUGGGAACAUGGACUCAAUAUAGAAUUUCAAAUUCCAAAAGGACGAACAAGGAAAGAUGAGGAUGAAAGCAGAAGAUGAACGGAGAUGCACCUAUUUUUUCAGUUAAGUUCUCUACUUUCUCUCCCUCUUUCUUUUAAUCAUGUAUUUAUUGAGUAGUUUUAAUGAUAAUCAUUGAAGUGGACUAUGCACCCAAGUUGUUUGAUAAUAUACCUGACUCAUUCAUCAAAUAAUAUUUGAAGUACAUAACGUAAAACAUGUUUUAAAUAGAGUUCUUCUCGCGAAUGCAUAUCUUAAAACUAACCUUUAAGAACAAUCAUAGCUUUAAAAUUGUAUUUCGACUCACAGUGCAGUUCACUAUGAUUAUUGCAAGUAAUAAUUCAUUUCUUUGACACGUCUAGCUUUUCUCUUCCUUUUUGUAAUAUGACAAAAUCUAAUCAGCAAUUAGGCCAAGCUAAUCCAUAAUAUUUCAAAUUUGAUUCUUCUUUAAUAUACAGUAAAAAUUUAAAAAAAAAUAGAAAAAUGGACUUCGACGCUGCCACAACAUAUGCUUCUCUAUGAAGAAGUAAACUAAAGGUACCUGCCUUUUCCCUUUUUUGUUAGUAAUAUUUUGGUAGAUUACUAGCACUUUUUAAUUGAAGACCUUUGUAGGUUUAAUUUUAGUAUCUUAGAGCUCAAGAAUCCGGAACUACAUUUAGUAAAGUGGAUUUAUACAAACGUUCUUUUUACUAUUAGUUUUAUACUAAAUUGCAGCUAAGGUAAGGAACUUCGUGUCGCGGCUGCUCCAUUCCGCUGCGCUGCGGUCUCAUUAACUGAACUUCGUUGCCACUAAAUUGCUUACAAAAACUUAUUCUUAAAAUCUUUGUUUCUUUUUCAAGGAGCACAAAGUUAUUUGACCCUGCUGAUAUAGCAUUCUGUUGGAGCAGCAUGUGAACUUUUAUGGCAUUCUGAUCAUAUUAUAGUUCAGCUUUGGGGAGCUAUAUUUUUUUUUCUUUCUGAAUGUUCACUAGGUUUAUAAGUAUCAUCUUUUGAGUUACUUGUGGGAAUUACUGAGGCUAACGAUUGUAGCGAAUAUAAAAUAUCGACGCUACGAGUUUUGAAUAUGUUGGUCACCAAACUCAAACGUUAUCAACAAGAAAUCGAGAGAAUGAGGAAUGAUGCGUUUCACUUUGGGCUUCAUGGUGUUAAAAGCAAUAGUGUUGGAUCUCAUCCUCUUGAAGGUAAGGCAAGAGGGAUGAAGCCAAACCAUAGGUGUUUGCAACUAUUUUCCUUUUCGUUACCAAAAAAUAAUAUCUUUCUCUUCAUCUCCUCUUAUCUCUUCAUAUUGAAAUUAUACAGUACUUUAUUCAAUGUUUUUCCUGCGACUUAGAAUACAUCACUCUUUGUUGCAUUGUUGUGGCUAAUUUUUGAAAUUUUAUAUGCUUAAUACAGGACUAUUGCUUACAAAGAUCAAUUGAAAGAAUAUCACUAUGCCCUGAAAGUUGCGAUUAGCAAGAUGGAUAUGCAAUCAACAAAAUAUUUGUUGCUGAAUAGGUUUACAUACAUGUUCAUCUUAAACUAAAUUCAUGACUCAUAGUGAUAUACUAUCUGUUCUUCCUUCAUUAUAACCUCUUUUGGCAUCUGCUCUAAGCAUAUGUUAAUAAAUAUCAUCAUGUAUGGUUAAACUUACAGACGUCGGCAAUCUUUUAACUUAUUUGUAAUGCAACUUUAAAAAAUUGCUGAAAUUGCCUUUUUUAAUUAAUUGAUUAACUUCCUUUCAAUAUUUUGCAUUUCUCAAUAUGCCAAUCCAUUCACUGGUCUGAUCCAUUUACCUAGCUAAUGUGAUGCUUUCCUUCUGAAAGUCAGGAAUGGUGAUUUAGUUGUUCCAUACUUGAGAUUUAGCCGAAGAUGAGUUAUUUUUCCUCUUAUAUAAUAAUACAUAAUAUGAGAUAAUAUUUCACAUGUUGAAGCCGUUUCAGGUACGCUUGAUAAGAUAUUAUGCUGAAGGAUCUUUGUUUUAAGUAUACGAAUACGCUGAAAAUGUGAAAUUCUUCUAAGAUUCGUUGGUCGAUUUUGCUGCAUAUUUUACUCCUAAAAUGCAGAGAGACCUGCGAAGGCAGGUCCUGGUUAGUUGGUCCGAAAAGUCAGAAUUAUCGGUAGAAGAUGAUGUAGCUUGGAUUGAAGGGUAACGUUAUCUACCUUAGUUGCUUAGUUAAUAUUAACAUAGGGAGUCAUUUCUACUAGAAGUUGAACAUUAUCCACCACUAUUCGAUAAUGGUGCAUAUAAAAGAAAGGUUAUGGUUUCUUAGAUUUGGAUUCGUUUUGUUAAUUGAACAGAAAGUGGUGGUUAGUCUCUGUUGGAGACCAAGGACAAUCCAAAAUCAUUUUUUUGAAGCAGGGGAUUAGAGGUUUUAACUAGACCUCUUAUCCCUUUCAUUUUCAAAUACAAUUCUUAUUUCAUGAAGCUAUUUUAUUUGUAUUAUUAUUAUUAUUAUUAUUCCUUUUAUGUUUUGCUUUAAGACUCCUUUUAAUUAUACUUACGGAAAAUUUGGAAGGCUUCGACACUAUAAUUUUUUGCUGUGGUGCAGAAAGAGUUCAAAAAUAUAAAGUUAGAACUAGAGUAGGUUUCAUAUUCGGUCAGUUUCUUUUUAUAUGAUAUACUUCAGUUUAGUUGGAUGUUAAGUUUUAAUGAUAUUAACUGAAAUUAAAAGAAUCCUAUUACUAUUUUGACUUUGUGGAAAUCGGUAAAUAUGGCUUCUAUUUGUUUAUGAAAUUUCGUAUGUAUAGUACCAAACAUAUAUAAAAUUAAAAGCUUUUUCACAUAAUGUGAGAUCAUUAAUUUUUAUUAAUGUCAAUAUCAGGGAUAUGAUAAGAACUUUUUUGUUUUCAUAUAAAACAAGUAAUUAAGAUCGUGAUAUUGAUAUCAAGUGUCAAUUAAAAUUAUCAGGAUAAAUUUCUAUUGAAGUAUAUAUGAUUUUAAAUAUGUCGAUGCGAUAUGACAACUUUUUUUUUUUUAUAUCAAACAAAUAAGUUUCUACUUUCUUACUAAAAUUUUUCAUUGAUAUCGACCGCGCACGAAUACUAGUAUCUAUAUUAUAUUAAAAGGAGAGUAGUUUGCAAUGUGGUUAAGCCAAAUGGCUUAUUGAGAAUGACACUUGGCACUUUUAAGACAAAAUCAAAAUAGAUUUUAGGACAAAAUCUAAUAUAGAUUGACAAGAUUAGGAUAAAAAUAAUAUGAAAUAUGGUAUAUUUAGGAACAUUAUGCUUAUUAGAAGAAUACCAAAUAUGUAAAUUGUUCAAGAAAUUUUUAUGUAGUAAAUAUUUUUAUUUAAGGAAGAUUCUUUCUUUAAUUUUGGUCAAAGUGAAAAACGAAAGGAUUGAAUUUGGACUGAUUUUCCUUCAUGAUACAUUUCCAACUAAAAUUUAGGUGAUAUUAUUUUUUUAAUUUAGGUACGUAUUAACAAAAUAUUUAGUUUGACAAAU